AAAGGCCUUUGAGCGGGGGACAACAUUUGGAAACGAAUGCUAAUACCGCAUAAAAACUUUAAACACAAGUUUUAAGUUUGAAAGAUGCAAUUGCAUCACUCAAAGAUGAUCCCGCGUUGUAUUAGCUAGUUGGUGAGGUAAAGGCUCACCAAGGCGAUGAUACAUAGCCGACCUGAGAGGGUGAUCGGCCACAUUGGGACUGAGACACGGCCCUAACUCCUACGGGAGGCAGCAGUAGGGAAUCUUCGGGAAUGGACGAAAGUCUGACCGAGCAACGCCGCGUGAGUGAAGAAGGUUUUCGGAUCGUAAAACUCUGUUGGUAGAGAAGAACGUUGGUGAGAGUGGAAAGCUCAUCAAGUGACGGUAACUACCCAGAAAGGGACGGCUAACUACGUGCCAGCAGCCGCGGUAAUACGUAGGUCCCGAGCGUUGUCCGGAUUUAUUGGGCGUAAAGCGAGCGCAGGUGGUUUAUUAAGUCUGGUGUAAAAGGCAGUGGCUCAACCAUUGUAUGCAUUGGAAACUGGUAGACUUGAGUGCAGGAGAGGAGAGUGGAAUUCCAUGUGUAGCGGUGAAAUGCGUAGAUAUAUGGAGGAACACCGGUGGCGAAAGCGGCUCUCUGGCCUGUAACUGACACUGAGCUCGAAAGCGUGGGGAGCAACAGGAUUAGAUACCCUGGUAGUCCACGCCGUAAACGAUGAGUGCUAGAUGUAGGGAGCUAUAAGUUCUCUGUAUCGCUGCUAACGCAAUAAGCACUCCGCCUGGGGAGUACGACCGCAAGGUUGAAACUCAAAGGAAUUGACGGGGGCCCGCACAAGCGGUGGAGCAUGUGGUUUAAUUCGAAGCAACGCGAAGAACCUUACCAGGUCUUGACAUACUCGUGCUAUUCCUAGAGAUAGGAAGUUCCUUCGGGAGACGGGAUACAGGUGGUGCAUGGUUGUCGUCAGCUCGUGUCGUGAGAUGUUGGGUUAAGUCCCGCAACGAGCGCAACCCCUAUUGUUAGUUGCCAUCAUUAAGUUGGGCACUCUAACGAGACUGCCGGUGAUAAACCGGAGGAAGGUGGGGAUGACGUCAAAUCAUCAUGCCCCUUAUGACCUGGGCUACACACGUGCUACAAUGGAUGGUACAACGAGUCGCGAGACAGUGAUGUUUAGCUAAUCUCUUAAAACCAUUCUCAGUUCGGAUUGUAGGCUGCAACUCGCCUACAUGAAGUCGGAAUCGCUAGUAAUCGCGGAUCAGCACGCCGCGGUGAAUACGUUCCCGGGCCUUGUACACACCGCCCGUCACAGGGCCAUUA
rnacentral:rRNA from 1 species